GAUUUGAACCCAACUCUUAGUUGGGUAAAUAUAUUAACAAUGACUGCCUUUCACUUAAAUUAACGUAUAAGUUGUGCGUUAUCAAAAAAUGGCGUUGUUGCCGGGGAAUAAUUUGGCAUAUUGAGUUAGUUUGGAAUUAGUUUACUUGCUUUGAUUCUAACUUGUAAAUAGUUGUUUGUAAUUUUGUUUCAUUUCUUUUGUUAGUUAGGUACUUAUUUAUUUUUUUUAAUUAUUAAUAUGAAAUCUUGGAAUGAAAGUGAAUUCGGUGGUUGGAGAUCCUAUUGUGAAAAUCCAUGUCCAUAUUGUAAUGCACCCCACCUUUGGCAAGAUUAUAGAUAUGCUCCCCGGUGAGAGAUGUGUGCACCAUCUCAAUCUUAUAGGGGGUAUGGUUAUCCUCUAUAUGGUGGUCAAGAUAGACAUUGGAGUGAUUGUACAAAUGCCCGCUCCCCC
rnacentral:lncRNA from 1 species